rnacentral:rRNA from 1 species
AUUGAACGCUGGCGGAAUGCUUUACACAUGCAAGUCGAACGGCAGCACGGGGGCAACCCUGGUGGCGAGUGGCGCACGGGUGAGUAAUACAUCGGAACGUGCCCGGUCGUGGGGGAUAACGUAGCGAAAGUUACGCUAAUACCGCAUACGAUCUGAGGAUGAAAGCGGGGGACCUUCGGGCCUCGCGCGAUCGGAGCGGCCGAUGUCAGAUUAGGUAGUUGGUGGGGUAAAGGCCUACCAAGCCGACGAUCUGUAGCUGGUCUGGGAGGACGACCAGCCACACUGGGACUGAGACACGGCCCAGACUCCUACGGGAGGCAGCAGUGGGGAAUUUUGGACAAUGGGCGCAAGCCUGAUCCAGCCAUUCCGCGUGCAGGACGAAGGCCUUCGGGUUGUAAACUGCUUUUGUAUGGAACGAAAAGGCUCUGGCUAAUACCUGGGGCUCAUGACGGUACCGUAAGAAUAAGCACCGGCUAACUACGUG